AGAGACAUGCCCUGUCUAGGCAGCUACAGAAAGUCUCACUCCUGUUUCCCUUCUCUCUGUAUCCAGUGGCUGCCCAGCUCCUCCCCCCUCCUGUUGUCCAAGAAUAUAUCAAAACUUGGUCAGCAGUGGCUGGGAGAAGGAAGAAGGCCCAGAAAGUCUGAGUUGAGUUUAUGAAAGUUUUCCACUAAAGUCAGCAACAGCUUAAAUUCAAACCAGGCCCAAGCCGUUCAGUCUCCAUAUGAGUUGUUCAUCAAAGGACCAAAGAGAAGAAAUCUGAGCCUGGAGCAGAGGCUGGCUUAAAGGCUUCCAAGUGAUUCCUUCUGGUUUACCAUGACAUUUGCCAUUAAAACCAAGAUGUGAACGGAGGUCAGAUAUAUAAUCUCAGCCCUUGUGUGUUCUCCUCUCCAGAGCCAGUCAUCUCAUGGCAAGAAAGCUCCAGUCCUGUUAGGACAACACUAGACAUUAGCAAGAAGAAAGAAAGACACAUUAAAGAAGUGCCACUCCAGGUUCUGCAGGUGAGGGUCACACCUCUGCCACUGCUGAUGUGACUUUCUAAGGAAAACCUCACCGACUUUAUGUGAAGUUUCUUGAUCCUCUUAGACUUGAGCUUUCUACAAAGAAAUAAGAAUGGAUCAAUUUGCAUUCUUCUACAUGCUAACCGCCAGUUGAGCCAUCACCAUUUGUUGAAGAUGCCGUCUUCUUUCCACUGGAUGGUUUUAGCUCCUUUGUCAAAGAUCAAGUGACCAUAGAACCCAUCCAUCAAUUUCUCAAUAGAAAGAUGGUGUUUACUGGUGAACUUUAACCUUUCUGAGGUCAAGAGCCCCAGGAAGCAAUUUCCUGGAUUUAGAAAGAUGUUGCCUCCUGCUGUGUAAUCUUCUUGUCCAAAGAGGCCCUAAGACUCGGAACAUCUGGGAUGCUCCAUUAUAGGAGUCAGUGCCCAGAGGAAAGCAGAGUGAAAGCUAACAUUCCUUCCUGGCAGUCCAUAAAACCCGGCUCACUUUUCAGAUCUGUGCCAGCAGGAGGUCAGUAGAAUCAUGCCAUGUGACCUUGCCAGAUGUCUUGUACUACCAUGAGUCCAAAGCAGCAAGGACAAGUGGGCAGAAAACUCUGAAACAGUGAGCCAAAAUACAUCUUCCCUCCGUCUCUCAAGUAUUUAUUAGAAUAGAAGGAAGCUGACUAUCAUGGAGUGCUGUUGAGUGUAUGGUUAACAGCCUGGGUGAGGAUCAUAGAAGCCUGUGUCCAUCUCUGCUCAGCUAAAAGCACUGGAGUGCUUAGAAGUUCUGCAGCCUCCCAUCAGACGCACAUUCUCUGGCUGAAAUCUGACUCUGGCCACCAUGUUUGGACUGUGCCGACUUUGUUUCCCAUUGACCUCCAUUAAUGUUAGUUGUUUGCUUUAUCUACCAUGGCUCCCAGAUGUGUAUUAAACCACAACCCCAUUGUUAUGCAUCAUGAAAAAUGCCCUUCACUAUUGUAAGGUGUGGUAAUAGAGAGGCUUUAAUAUCUUCUUGAUAGGAUAACACCUGAGAAAAAUUCCAUUACCAUAUAUCAAUGCUGAACUCAUAACAAAUGUAUGAAAC
rnacentral:lncRNA from 1 species